GCAGCAAAAAUAAAUAUACAAGUGAUCGAAAUUCAAAACUGUAACAAUAGAUUGGGUUCGGCAGAGAGAGAGAGAGAGUGUGAGGGGUAGAGGGGAGAGAAAUGGGGCUAUCGUGCUUCGCUUGCUUUGACGGGGGAAGAAAGCAACAGAGAAAAGAAGAAGAGAGGCUGGCCUCCGCAGAAGCUCGUGCUAAAGCGGCCGAAUCUGCCCAGAAACGGCAAGAGCAAUUCGAAAAGUCUGCAGCAGGGAGAGCUGCCUGCGCACAGCUACAGGGGAUGGCAAAGCAAUCUGCAAACUCUAACAAAGGCGAACCAGUUCUAAAGUGGCAGAUGAGUUGAAGUUGAAACCUGUCCUUAAUGCAGCCGCAGUUCUUAUUGUAAUGUCUCUCUUCGAAGCAUGGAUUCAGAUUCAUCUAAUGGGGUUCACAUGGAUCAAGCUACUGCGUUGAAGAUUCUCAGCUGCAUUUUGUAUUACACUGUGAAACAGGGGGAAAUGGCGGAAAUCUUGAUGUUCAUAGUGAUUAGUUUUCAAAUACUUGAUAAAUGCAGUCGUCGAUGACAGAAGAGAAAACACCAGAUUGUAGUUCUUUUCAUUCUGAGCUGAGCUCGUAACUGCAUGUGAUCAGCACAUACAUUCAUUGGAGAAACAUGGUUCAGGAUGCAGGUCCAGCUGAGGAUCGAGAUAAUUGGAACGAUUGACAUCUGUUGCUACAUCUAUUUGUAAAUUGUACCGGAUAGCUGACCCAUUAGUAUUUUGCACUUACAGAGCGGAUGUACACGUCCUAUUUUUAACCCUAGUCUAUCAUUCUUUCUUAGUGACUCUCUCGCUCUCUCUGUUUUUUUUUUAGUUAAUACAGUCUUCGGUGGCCUUAUAUACUGAAUUCUGAGUUAAAAAGUGUGUACAUGACUCGAGGAAAAGUGGAAAACAAUGAAAAUUUAUGUGCAUCUGGGGAGCUGAGAUGGCAAAGCAGAUACAAGACCUUUGUUUGAUCACUCAUAAUUAAUUCAUUUACUCACUGGUUUUUUCUA